CUACUUGGAUAACCGUGGUAAUUCUAGAGCUAAUACAUGCUAAAAACCCCGACUUCGGGAGGGGUGUAUUUAUUAGAUAAAAAACCAAUGCCCUUCGGGGCUCCUUGGUGAAUCAUAAUAACUUAACGGAUCGCAUGGCCUUGCGCCGGCGACGGUUCAUUCAAAUUUCUGCCCUAUCAACUUUCGAUUGUAGGGUAUUGGCCUACAAUGGUAUCAACGGGUAACGGGGAAUUAGGGUUCGAUUCCGGAGAGGGAGCCUGAGAAACGGCUACCACAUCCAAGGAAGGCAGCAGGCGCGCAAAUUACCCAAUCCCGACACGGGGAGGUAGUGACAAUAAAUACUGAUACAGGGCUCUUUUGGGUCUUGUAAUUGGAAUGAGUACAAUUUAAAUCCCUUAACGAGGAACAAUUGGAGGGCAAGUCUGGUGCCAGCAGCCGCGGUAAUUCCAGCUCCAAUAGCGUAUAUUAAAGUUGUUGCAGUUAAAAAGCUCGUAGUUGAACCUUGGGUCUGGCUGGCCGGUCCGCCUCACCGCGUGCACUGGUCCGGCCGGACCUUUCCUUCUGGAGAACCGCAUGCCCUUCACUGGGUGUGUCGGGGAACCAGGACUUUUACUUUGAAAAAAUUAGAGUGUUCAAAGCAGGCCUUUGCUCGAAUACAUUAGCAUGGAAUAAUAGAAUAGGACGUGCGGUCCUAUUUUGUUGGUUUCUAGGACCGCCGUAAUGAUUAAUAGGGAUAGUCGGGGGCAUCAGUAUUCAAUUGUCAGAGGUGAAAUUCUUAGAUUUAUUGAAGACUAACUACUGCGAAAGCAUUUGCCAAGGAUGUUUUCAUU
rnacentral:rRNA from 1 species